AGGUGCACCAGCGACAUGCUAUUUCACAAAUUCCACGGUUGGUCUGAUAUCAGCAAAUUGUACUAAUUUUUGUACCAAUGGCACAUCGCAGUGGAAUGACACCGCCCCAGAUAAUGCGACAUGUUACUACCAGGCAACUCAGUUUUCAGCAACUCUGGGAAAAAUCCAAACGACCACGUACAACUGCAGUUUGGGGAAAUGCCACAACGGAACUUGCAUCCCAGAUGGUGAAUACGCUAGCUGUUGGUAACGGAAGCAAGAAGAAGCAUGAGAUUAUUCGCCGCAGGGGCUGAAAACAA
rnacentral:lncRNA from 1 species